rnacentral:rRNA from 1 species
CACAGAGUUAGCCGGUGCUUAUUCUGUCGGUACCGUCAAGGCUCCACGUAUUAGGUGAAGCUUUUCCUUCCCAACUUAAAGUGCUUUACAACCCGAAGGCCUUCUUCACACACGCGAUAUUGCUGGAUCAGGCUUUCGCCCAUUGUCCAAUAUUCCCCACUGCUGCCUCCCGUAGGAGUCCGGACCGUGUCUCAGUUCCGGUGUGACUGAUCAUCCUCUCAGACCAGUUACGGAUCGUCGCCUUGGUGAGCCGUUACCUCACCAACUAGCUAAUCCGACGUAGGUUCCUCCAAAAGCGAGAGGCCUUGCGGUCCCCCUCUUUGCUCUUGCGAGAUCAUGCGGUAUUAAUCCGGGUUUCCCCGGGUAUCCCCCACUUAAGGGCAGAUCCCUACGUAUUCCUCACCCGUCCGCCACUAGGUAUUACUACCUCGUUCGACUUGCAUGUGUUAGGCAUACCGCCAGCGUUCAAUCUGAGCCAGGAUCAAACUC